GCGAAUGGCUCAUUAAAUCAGUUAUCGUUUAUUUGAUAGUACCUUACUACUUGGAUAACCGUGGUAAUUCUAGAGCUAAUACAUGCUGAAAACCCUGACUUCGGAAAGGGUGUAUUUAUUAGAUAAAAAACCAAUGCCCUUUGGGCUCUUUGGUGAUUCAUGAUAACUUAACGGAUCGCAUGGCCUUGCGCCGGCGACGGUUCAUUCAAAUUUCUGCCCUAUCAACUUUCGAUGGUAAGGUAUUGGCUUACCAUGGUUUCAACGGGUAACGGGGAAUUAGGGUUCGAUUCCGGAGAGGGAGCCUGAGAAACGGCUACCACAUCCAAGGAAGGCAGCAGGCGCGCAAAUUACCCAAUCCCGACACGGGGAGGUAGUGACAAUAAAUACUGAUACAGGGCUCUUUUGGGUCUUGUAAUCGGAAUGAGUACAAUUUAAACCUCUUAACGAGGAACAAUUGGAGGGCAAGUCUGGUGCCAGCAGCCGCGGUAAUUCCAGCUCCAAUAGCGUAUAUUAAAGUUGUUGCAGUUAAAAAGCUCGUAGUUGAAUCUUGGGCCUGGCUGGCCGGUCCGCCUCACCGCGUGUACUGGUCUGGCCGGGCCUUUCCUUCUGGAGAACCUCAUGCCCUUCAGUGGGUGUGUUGGGGAACCAGGACUUUUACUUUGAAAAAAUUAGAGUGUUCAAAGCAGGCCU
rnacentral:rRNA from 1 species